rnacentral:rRNA from 1 species
UACGUAGGGCGCAAGCGUUGUCCGGAAUUAUUGGGCGUAAAGAGCUCGUAGGCGGCUUGUCGCGUCGGUUGUGAAAGCCCGGGGCUUAACCCCGGGUCUGCAGUCGAUACGGGCAGGCUAGAGUUCGGUAGGGGAGAUCGGAAUUCCUGGUGUAGCGGUGAAAUGCGCAGAUAUCUGGAGGAACACCGGUGGCGAAGGCGGCAUCCUGGACCAACACUGACGCUGAGUGAGCGAGAGCCAGGGGAGCAAACGGG